CGGAUUAUUGAAGGAGGAUAGGCCACCAACCCCAAGUGCAGGGGAGACGAGCUUUGAAGUUCGGGCCAAGUAUGACAAUUGGUGUCAAGGCGACUACUUGUGCCGUAGCACCGUUCUCAUGUCCUUGGACGAGCGGCUCUAUAAUGUGUUCAAAGUACAUAAGACCUCUGAUUUAUGCUUAAUUGUUCUUAUUUUGGGGGUUUGCAUGUGCUUAUUUUGAGUUAAAUAUUCUGGAAAUUGGUGCGUUUAUGGGUUUGUUUUAUGCUUUGCAGGAGAUUCUGAUUUUAUAGAUGGAAGAGUGUUAUGUUGGAGAUUUUGGGUCAGAAUUGCGUACUUAGGCGCAAACUGGUGUCCAGAGCUAAAAGUCUGCGCCAGAGCAGAGCUGCGCGGAUAGGUCUGUAUCAGAGCAGAGCUGACUUGCAUAGUCAGAGCUGAACUUCACUAUCAGAGCAGAAUUCUCC
rnacentral:lncRNA from 1 species